AGUAAUGUAUGGGGAUCUGCCUGAUGGCGGGGGAUAACUACUGGAAACGGUAGCUAAUACCGCAUAAUGUCUGCGGACCAAAGCGGGGGACCUCCGGGCCUCUUGCCAUCGGAUGUGCCCAGAUGGGAUUAGCUAGUAGGUGGGGUAACGGCUCACCUAGGCGACGAUCCCUAGCUGGUCUGAGAGGAUGACCAGCCACACUGGAACUGAGACACGGUCCAG
rnacentral:rRNA from 1 species